UGCAAGUCGAACGAUGAUGAUCUAGCUUGCUAGAUCGGAUUAGUGGCGGACGGGUGAGUAAUGCCUAGGAAUUUGCCCAGUAGUGGGGGACAACAGCCGGAAACGGCUGCUAAUACCGCAUACGCCCUACGGGGGAAAGGGGGCUCUUCGGAGCUCUCGCUAUUGGAUGAGCCUAGGUCAGAUUAGCUAGUUGGUGGGGUAAAGGCCUACCAAGGCGACGAUCUGUAGCUGGUCUGAGAGGAUGAUCAGCCACACUGGGACUGAGACACGGCCCAGACUCCUACGGGAGGCAGCAGUGGGGAAUAUUGGACAAUGGGGGCAACCCUGAUCCAGCCAUGCCGCGUGUGUGAAGAAGGCCUUUUGGUUGUAAAGCACUUUAAGCAGGGAGGAAAAGCUCGUAGUUAAUACCUGCGAGCCAUGACGUUACCUGCAGAAUAAGCACCGGCUAACUCUGUGCCAGCAGUCGCGGUAAUACAGAGGGUGCAAGCGUUAAUCGGAAUUACUGGGCGUAAAGCGCGCGUAGGUGGCUUAAUAAGUCAGAUGUGAAAGCCCCGGGCUUAACCUGGGAACUGCAUCUGAUACUGUUAGGCUCGAGUAUGGGAGAGGGAAGUAGAAUUUCAGGUGUAGCGGUGAAAUGCGUAGAGAUCUGAAGGAAUACCGAUGGCGAAGGCAGCUUCCUGGCCUAAUACUGACACUGAGGUGCGAAAGCGUGGGGUAGCAAACAGGAUUAGAUACCCUGGUAGUCCACGCCGUAAACGAUGUCUACUAGCCGUUGGGGCCUUUGAGGCCUUAGUGACGCAGCUAACGCAAUAAGUAGACCGCCUGGGGAGUACGGUCGCAAGAUUAAAACUCAAAGGAAUUGACGGGGGCUCGCACAAGCGGUGAGCAUGUGUUUAAUUCGAAGCAACGCGCAGAACCUUACCAACUCUUGACAUCCUGUGCUAACCCGAGAGAUCGGGCGUUCACUUCGGUGACGCAGUGACAGUGCUGCAUGACUGUCGUCAGCUCGUGUCGUGAGAUGUUCGUAGUCGGCACGAGCGCAAUUCACAUCUUAGUGCAGGCGGUCGGCUGACACUCUAAGGAACUGCCCGUGAUAUCGGGAGGAAGGUGUGAUGACGUCAAG
rnacentral:rRNA from 1 species